rnacentral:rRNA from 1 species
UACAGAGGUGCCAAGCGUUAGGCGGAAUCACUGGGCUUAAAGCGCGUGUAGGCGGGUCGUUAAGUGUCCGAGUGAAAUCCCACGGCUCAACCGUGGAACUGCCGGGCAUACUGGCGAUCUUGAGGCAUUCAGGGGCGAGCGGAACAAAUGGUGGAGCGGUGAAAUGCGUAGAUAUCAUUUGGAACGCCAAUGGUGAAAACAGCUCGCUGGGAAUGAUCUGACGCUGAGACGCGAAAGCCAGGGGAGCGAACAGG